GCAUUCGCACACAACAAGUGCAGCUCACAACUAGUUUUAUCUAUCAGAGAGUCACUAAAAUCUGCAAUUAAUCGUCAUGGGAAAGUUCAAAUUCGUCGCUUUGAGGCUGAUGAUGGUGAUCCUGUUCUUGAUUACUUUGUCUCCAGUGGAAGGGCAUCCUGCGACGCAUCGUCCCCCCCAGCAGUGCAUACUUUGCGGAGUAUAAAAAUGAAGUGGACUUCGUGCCGUGUGUAUGGAUUACCUCGCGAUUAUGAAAUGGAAAGUGGCAGCUCAACGAAUUACCUGUUUUUACGACGAUUAGAUUGUAGCAAAAAAAAA